rnacentral:miRNA from 1 species
UCCCUCCGUCCCAUAAUAUAAGGGAUUUUGGGUGGAUGUGACAUAUCCUAGUACAAUGAAUCUGGACAUACGGUCUGUCCAAAUUUAUUGUAUUAGAAUGUGUCACAUCCACCUCAAAUCCCUUAUAUUAUGGGACGAAGGGA